rnacentral:ncRNA from 1 species
ACGCGACAAGGGCAAACCUGUUUAAAGGCAGCGACGCAAAGCCAAGGGUCUAAGGUACUGUUUACAGCAGUAUUAUGAUAGCCUGGUUACCGAA